AGCUUGAGAGCGCUCGCGCCUAAAAGAACACAGCCUUCACCUGACGCAAGCGCAAUUAUCACCUGACCUAAAGCGCGAUAUCCGAUUCUUGAACGAAUCGUGCUUUUGAGUCAAUGAAUCGGUUGAACUGGCUCACAAAGGUUUGUUCAUUGAAUCGGUCCGAGCGGGAGCCAAAAACCGAGCCAUUAAACAGAGAAAACGCCACUUUCAUUAGCUCUGACUUGUGAUGAUGAGCGAGCUGACAAGAUUAGGACUGAACCGAGGAUUUGACUGAGGAGCAAAGUAGAGCUACGGUGUCCUUUUCCUCCUCCCUGAGCCUCUGCAUGUUUACACACUGCCUCAGAUCACCAGUCAGGCUAUCUGCACUGCUGUCGUCUCCCAGGACCCCAUAAUACUCUCCAGCAACAGAACAUCUGGAGAGGGUCCCUAACACCCAGACUAUAAGGGAGUUCACUCAGAUUUACUCUUUCAGUGUGUUUCUUUGUCUUUGUCAGGACUGACAUGACAGAUGGCUCUGGCUUCUGGGGUAGGAGUUGGCACUAGUGCAUGGACCAUGGUGGUCUUUUUUACUGGGUCCAUGGCAGGUGCAGGGCUGAUGUGCUCCUCUUCCGCUGCCUCGCAGAUGGUGAGGGGAACCACAGUGCAGGAUAAUCCACUCCAUAUAAUCCACAAAAGUCGGGCAGGAGUGCCUUGGACCGCUCGUUGAGGCUCGUCUGGUAGAAGGGAGCGGUCAGGGCAGUGAGUAAGGCAAGCCAGGUCGGGAAAAUCCUUUGUGUGGUCCUCGAGGUAACACUCCUCUUGCUCCAGGAGGAGGAGGCAUACUGAUGGUGCCUUCACAAGUCAUUAGGUUUCUCUCCAAAACCUUUACUCUCUCAGCUCCUCUCUGGUGGAAUGAGCUGCCAACCUCCAUUUGAUCUACUGAGAUCAGCACAACUUUCAAAAAGCAGUCCCUGCCAAAUCCAUUAUAGACCCACCUGGGCUGAUGGCUAACUAUCUCAGAAGUGAUCAGUGAGAUCACAGAGAUCAUAAGAGUCAUUGCUCAUAUAUUUAUCCUGGCAUUGGCUCUCACUCAGGGCACCAGAUAUUCCAUGCAUGGAUAUCACUUCAAGAGCUAGCGGCGCUGUGUGCAGGACACCCUUAGCAUCUCAGCCAGGGUCUAAAAAGAACGCUUGUCAUGUGGCAAAUGCAAGUAAAAUUAGGCAGACCUCUGGAUAUUCAACCAGCUCUCAUAUGCAUACGUGCUGACUUUGCAAAAGCAGUCUGCGCUUCCCGCUGCGAGAGGAUGCUUCAGUGACCCUAGCAGAUCAGAUCUGUGACCCAAUUUCUGGUGAAACCUCUGAUCUAUAGUGUAUCACAAUGAUGAACAACAGCAAACCCGUGCAUGAAUGUGAACACUUACCAGUACCAGUACCAGUACCAGUAGGACUUGUUGCCUCUCCUCUCUCUGGCCUCCUCAGCCUGCCACUGGUGGACCUCGCAAUGCCUGUCAGCACAGAAGACAUAAUAGAAACGCGUAUCAGAAUGAUCUAAUGAGGAGGAAGGAUAUAGAGGAAGAUGUAAAGGACACGGUGUCCAGAAGAAAUGAAGUAGAGGGAAGCAGAUGUGUUUGGAACAGACAUCAGAGGAAUGAAGCUCUGCCCACUCAAUUAAGGGCUGCAUGUGUCUGUAAAAUCAAGUCAGAUGGGUCACAAACACAUAGACAGAUCAAACGCUGCUGUCUUUUGAAAUCUGUCUUGAAAUCUA